rnacentral:lncRNA from 1 species
AGGAGAGGCUCAAGAGGCCUCUGCCUCAGGCCCAGCAUAUUGGGGGGCCCAAAAUUAGUUGUAUAAUUAUUAUUAUUAUUAUUAUUUUUUUACGUUUUUUGUUUUAAAGCCCAACUGCAAAUAUUCUAAUCUACAUCAUCUCUCCACGGUUCCACAACGAGUCCACAAAUUGCAGAUUCUCCUUGCUGCAAAAUUCAAUCGGCGACGGGCGUCGACAAAUCUGAAGUCACGCAUUUUCCGGUCUAUUUUCGAAAUCAUUGGUAAGUAAUUUAUUUCCCCCAAAAUCCGUCGGCAACGAGAUGGAAUGGAAUGCUUCUUCUGUAAUGUUAUUAAUUCAAUUUUUU